rnacentral:tRNA from 1 species
UCCGCCGUGGGGUAAUUGGCAGCCCGCAGGCCUUUGGAGCCUUGCAGUGAUGGUUCGAGUCCAUCCGGCGGAGC